UUACAACUCAAGUUCAAUCCAACCAAUUCUACCGUAUCCAUUACAAAAUAAGCAAUCCUAACAAUAUUUCAAAUGAAUCAACACUUUUUUUUUUGAGAAAUAAAUGAAUCAACACUUGUUGUUCCUUCUUUCCUUCAAAAUGUGAUGCAUCAUUCAAUAUAUCCAAUAUUGUCUUCAUUGUCUUCACCAUAUAUCCUUCAAACACAAUCAUAAACUAAUAUAAUUAGUUAAAAGUUCAAUCAAAAAACAAAUUAAUAAACAUUUUGAAAAAACACUCAUCAUAUACAAAUAUCAAUAUUAAUGAAUUAGCAAUAUAGCACAGUAUGUGUCGAAGUCAGCAAGUUAAAAUUUAACUAGCAAUUAAGUUUGAUUUUAAUAGUUUUUAAUUACUACAUUUAAGUGCAUGUAUAAUGUCCUUUAAUAAGGUGACAAAAUUCACAUAUUCCAUGUUAAAAAAUGACUUCUUAACUCACACCUGUCUCAUCUUAUCAAUGCAAAGAUGAAGCAAAAUUCCUCAAUUUCAACAUCAAAGUUAGACAAGGAUAUUCGUAUAUAUCAACGUUAAUAAUCACAAUUAGGCUAUUCCGUUUAUACUUUUGUUGGCAUCUCGUUUCAAUCAGACAACAAGAGGCUAGCUUGUUUUUAAAUCAUUUCAAUACUCAAUAUGAAGUAAGGAAUUUUUCUCAAAAAAAAAAAUAUGAAGUCAUUCGCCUCAUUUCUUCCAUCUAUGCUCCUAACAAUGAUAUUAAUUAGAAGCCUUGAGAAUUCCCAAAAUUAAUGAUUGUGGCAGAGAGUGAGUUACGGGCAUGAGAGAGAUAACCGACAUGAGUGAGAGAUAUUCAGGUCCACCUUGAUUAAAAACAAACUUCUAUAAAUUUCACUUUCAGUAACCAUAAUCAGAUGCCUAAGCACGUGCAUUAUAGGAAAAUGCUUUGUGCUCAUAAACUAUAGGAAAAUUCCACAACUUGAGAAUGCUUUUGCAUCCAACAUGAUGUGUUAAUGAUCUGUGUUGAUUGAGGAAUAAAAAAAUAAUUCAAGUCUACCUUGACUAAGCACUAACUUACAUAGCUUCCAGCAACCAGAAUCAGAUGUCGAAGCAUGUGAAUUGUCAUAAAAUGUUUUGUGCUUAUUCAUAAUUGAUACCUAAACAAUGAUAUGGAAAGCUGAAAGACAUAAGCAAAAGAUGAUGGUGGAAUUCACCCAAACUUAAGACUGACCUCACAUUUACCUGUACUGUACAAUAUGCAGCACCAUGAGAGAAGAAGAAGGGGAUGUCAGAGCCAAUGUC
rnacentral:lncRNA from 1 species